CUGAUAGAGCAGGGGAUACACCCGUAUCCAUCCCGAACACGGAAGUUAAGCCCUGCAUCGCCGAUGGUACUGCACGGUUCGCCGUGUGGGAGAGCAGGACA
rnacentral:rRNA from 1 species